rnacentral:rRNA from 1 species
AUUGAACGCUGGCGGCAUGCCUUACACAUGCAAGUCGAACGGCAGCACGGGAGCAAUCCUGGUGGCGAGUGGCGAACGGGUGAGUAAUAUAUCGGAACGUGCCCAGUCGUGGAGGAUAACGCAGCGAAAGCUGUGCUAAUACCGCAUACGAUCUAAGGAUGAAAGCGGGGGAUCGCAAGACCUCGCGCGAUUGGAGCGGCCGAUAUCAGAUUAGCUAGUUGGUGGGGUAAAGGCCCACCAAGGCGACGAACUGUAGCUGGUCUGAGAGGACGACCAGCCAGACUGGAACUGAGACGCGGUCCAGACUCCUACGGGAGGCAGCAGUGGGGAAUUGUGGACAAUGGGCGCAAGCCUGAGCCAGCAAUGCCGCGUGCAGGAUGAAGGCCUUCGGGUUGUAAACUGCUUUUGUACGGAACGAAACGGCCCUUUCUAAUACAGGGGGCUAAUGACGGUACCGUAAGAAUAAGCACCGGCUAACUACGUGCCAGCCGCCGCGGUAAAAC